CUCUUGGGAGUUUCUGCG
rnacentral:snRNA from 1 species